rnacentral:rRNA from 1 species
UACGGGGGGGGCAAGCGUUGUUCGGAAUUACUGGGCGUAAAGGGCUCGUAGGCGGCCAACUAAGUCAGACGUGAAAUCCCCGGGCUCAACCCGGGAACUGCGUCCGAUACUGGAAGGCUUGAAUCCGGGAGAGGGAUGCGGAAUUCCAGGUGUAGCGGUGAAAUGCGUAGAGAUCGGCAGGAACACCCAGGGGGAAACCAGCCGACUGGGCAAGCGCUGACGCUGAGGUGCGAGAGCGUGGGGAGCGAACCGG